rnacentral:misc_RNA from 1 species
GGGUCUAUUAUGCUGAAACUUCAUCAAAAUCCGGGUACUUAUCAAUACAAACAGACAGGUUACAGCAUGGCAUCAGGACUAACAGAGCCAUAGGAUGGAUUUUUACAGUUAAAACAAACAAAAGAACUGUUGUGAAUACAGACAAAUGAGAGAAUGCAUCUUCAUAGACAAUUAGCAGCAGUCACAAAUCUGAACAUCGUAUGUUCAUUCAUCUACUUAAUCAGAUGAAAGCACUGGUUCUACAACUGGAGGUAUACAGUCC